UACGGGGGGGGCAAGCGUUGUUCGGAAUUACUGGGCGUAAAGGGCUCGUAGGCGGCCAACUAAGUCGGACGUGAAAUCCCCAGGCUCAACCUGGGAACUGCGUCCGAUACUGGAUGGCUUGAAUCCGGGAGAGGGAUGCAGAAUUCCAGGUGUAGCGGUGAAAUGCGUAGAUAUCUGGAGGAAUACCGGUGGCGAAGGCGAGUCCCUGGACAACUCCUGACACUGAGGCACGAAAGCUAGGGGAGCAAACAGG
rnacentral:rRNA from 1 species